GGCUGGUCUGAAGUUAGUGAGUUAUCUCAAUUGUUCACAGUCAGUUACAGGUCAAACUUCCUUGUUCUACUCUUUCUUGCUUCUCACUACUGCACCUGGUCUUAA
ensembl:Y_RNA Y_RNA Y RNA